UAUAACUAUUUUUGUUUCUAGUUUUUUUUAUCACAUGAGUUUUGAAAAUAACAUGGAUACAUAUAAUAUUUUGAAAGUUGAAUCUCCUGAGUAAAAAUGAAUAUAAUUUAUCUCCUAAUAACACUAGAUUUAGUUAGAAUUAGAGAAUCAAUAAUAACUAAACUUUUUGAAUACAAGAAAUUUGAAUGGAUUUUGAAAAUUCUUACACCAAUAACAAUAAAUUUUAUUAAUACUUUUGAAAUCUAAGAACCAUUUUGAAGUUGUUAGAGAAUUCUUUUACCAAUAACCUGUUUGAUACGUAUUCACAUAUGUGGAUGAUUACAAGAAAAAUUUACUUCAUAGGACACAUUUGCACUUUUCAAUUACAAAUACAGACACUUUACGCAUGAGACACACUUUAUCCAUGCGAUUUGUCUUUUCUACCCUCAGCACAUUCCUAACUUAUCUAUCCAAACGUAAUUGUCCUAAUAACCAAAUCAAAAAAUCAAAUAAACGCAAAACACUUUAUUCUUUUUCCUAUCUCACUUUCAAACCCACUUUUUCCAAUUUAAUAGUGUUGAUUUCCUCUCUUCUUCUCCCUCUAGUUACAGAGUAUGAAGAAUCAAGAGACGUCAUAGCUUAUAUGGUUCGAGAAUCACAACUUUGACUUGUACCUCUUGUUUCAGUUCUAGAUCUGCGCUUAUUUGCCUCUUUCGUUUUCGUCUCUUCUCGAACCAUGACGAAAGGUAAGUCGAAGAAGAAAGCGAAGCUUCUUAGUCGAUCCAACGCACCGAAAGCAACAUCGAAGAGAGAACUGGAAAAUGGCUUUACAUACUCGCAUACUCUGAGUACUACUUCUCUCCAAAGUCCAAACCCCAACCUCAACUCUCCUGUCCACGCUGCGCAUAACAACAGCCUCCACACCCACACUUCCCAAACCCCUAGCAACCACGUCCACACCUCGUUUUUCCUUUUGCUGAUAACACAAGUCCAUUUUUUUCCUAUCCACAACAUAUGUGUCCACAAUUUUUUUAUCCAUAAACAUCUCACCUACAAAUGUAUUCAUAAAUGUGUAAUACACUCAAGUUAUGUUUGUGGGUAUUACUAUUUUCGUUUUUUAAUUUACACCUUCCAUAA